GACUAUUUGUAUGGGACGGACGGAAAAGGAAAUAUGGUCUAUUUCUAUGGGACGGAGGGAGUAUAUUUAAUACGUACAACAUAUAUGUAAAAUUAUAAAUCUAUAGUGUAUGUUAAUUAGUUGAAUAGAGUCACGUUUGAAUUAAUGGCUUUUUCGGAAGUGAAAUAUGCAUGGCAGUGUAGUGUGAACGUAGCAAACUUUGUGACAGUGCGGCCGAGCAGUGAGGGAGAUGAUAAAACAAACGAAUUCAAAGACUGGAAAGAGCAGAUGAUUUGCCUUCUAGAGAGCCAGGAUGUGAUGGGGUUCGUCAACGGUGAAAUUGUGGCACCAGAGAAACAGGAGAUUGAGCAGUACAAGUUGUGGAGAAGAACGGACAGACUUGUCAAAGGAUGGAUUCUUGGAUCGAUCGGAACAGACGUGCUUCACCAACUGCGGGGUAGUGAAACUGCAAGGGACGUAUGGCUUCAAUUACUGGAAAACAUUUUCAAACAAGAAGAAGAAGAAGCAGAAGAAGAAGAAGGAGGAGGAGAAGCCGGUCAGUUUUCUUUUUCUCUCCAAUUUCCCUCAUUUGAAUUGAAUAGUGAUUUGCUAUUAGGAUGGCGGAGGGGAGGAGAAGGAGAAGGAGAAGGAGGAGAAGAAGGAGAAGAAGGAGGAGGAGAAGAAGAAGAAGUAGAAGGAGAAGGAAGAGGAGGAGAAGCCGGUCAGUUUUCAUUUUCUCUCCAAUUUCCAUCAUUUGAAUUGAAUAGUGAUUUGCUAUUAGGAUGGCUAAGGGGAGGAAGAAUUGGUUUCGUUUCAAAAAAAUCUGUUAACCAAAUAACUAAUUGGUUUAUCAAAUAAAAAAUACCUUUUAAUAUUUUUGUCCUUUUGUUUUUAUAUCAAAUCAAGCAUUUUUUCCCCACCCUUGGAUUAUUCAGCAUCAUCUCAAGAAGAAGAAGAAGACAAGGCCUGUCAAUCACCUCAAGAAGAAGAACAAGAAGAAGAAGAAGACAAGGCCUGUCAGUUUUCAUUUUGUCUCCAAUUUCCCUCAUUUGAAUUGAAUAGUGAUUUGCUAUUAGGAUGGCUGUUGAAUAGUGAUUUGCUAUUAGGAUGGCUGAGGGGAGGAAGAAUUGGUUUCGUUUCAAAAAAUUCGGUUAACCAAAUAACUAAAUGGUUUAUCAAAUAAAAAAUACCUUUUAAUAUUUUUGUUUUUUUGUUUUUAUAUCAAAUCAAGCAUUUUUUUCCCACUCUUAGAUUAUUCAGCAUCUCAAGAAGAAGAAGAAGAAGAAGGCAAGGCCGGUCAGUUUUCAUUUUCUCUCCAAUUUCCCUCAUUUGAAUUGAAUAGUGAUUUGCUAUUAGGAUGGCUGAGGGGAGGAAGAAUUGGUUUCGUUUCAAAAAAAACGGUUAACCAAAUAACUAAUUGGUUUAUCAAAUAAAAAAUACCUUUUAAUAUUUUUGUCCUUUUGUUUUUAUAUCAAAUCAAGCAUUUUUUCCCACCCUCAGAUUAUUCAGCAUCAUCUCAAGAAGAAGAAGAAGAAGAAGGCAAGGCCGGUCAGUUUUCAUUUUCUCUCCAAUUUCUCUCAUUUGAAUUGAAUAGUGAUUUGCUAUUAGGAUGGCUGAGGGGAGGAAGAAUUGGUUUCGUUUCAAAAAAAUCGGUUAACCAAACAACUAAUUGGUUUAUCAAAUAAAAAAUACCUUUUAAUAUUUUUGUUUUUUUUGUUUUUAUAUCAAAUCAAGCAUUUUUUCCCACCCUUAGAUUAUUCAGCAUCAUCUCAAGAAGAAGAAGAAGACAAGGCCUGUCAAUCACCUCAAGAAGAAGAACAAGAAGAAGAAGACACGGCCUGUCAGUUUUCAUUUUCUCUCCAAUUUCCCUCAUUUGAAUUGAAUAGUGAUUUGCUAUUAGGAUGGCUGAGGGGAGGAAGAAUUGGUUUCGUUUCAAAAAAAUCGAUUAACCAAAUAACUAAUUGGUUUAUCAAAUAAAAAAUACCUUUUAAUAUUUUUGUUUUUUUGUUUUUAUAUCAAAUCAAGCAUUUUUUCCCCACUCUUAGAUUAUUCAGCAUCUCAAGAAGAAGAAGAAGAAGAAGCCGAUUAUUCAGCAUCAUCUCAAGAAGAAGAAGAAGAAGAAGAAGAAGAAGAAGGCAAGGCCGGUCAGUUUUCAUUUUCUCUCCAAUUUCCCUCAUUUGAAUUGAAUAGUGAUUUGCUAUUAGGAUGGUUGAGGGGAGGAAGAAUUGGUUUCGUUUUAAAAAAUUCGGUUACCCAAAUAACUAAUUGGUUUAUCAAAUAAAAAAUACCUUUUAAUAUUUUUGUUUUUUUGUUUUUAUAUCAAAUCAAGCAUUUUUUUCCCACCCUUAGAUUAUUCAGCAUCAUCUCAAGAAGAAGAAGAAGGCAAGACCUGUCAGUUUUCAUUUUCUCUCCAAUUUCCCUAUGUUGAAUUGAAUAGUGAUUUGCUAUUAGGAUGACUGAGGGGAGGAAGAAUUGGUUUCGUUUUAAAAAAAUCGGUUAACAAAAUAACUAAUUGGUUUAUCAAAUAAAAAACACCUUUUAAUAUUUUUGUUUUUUUGUUUUUAUAUCAAAUCAAGCAUUUUUUUCCCCACCCUUAGAUUAUUCAGCAUCAUCUCAAGAAGAAGAAGGAAGGAAGAAGAAGAAGAAGGAGAAGCAGAAGAAGGAGAAGGAGAAGGAGAAGAAGAAGAAGAAGCAGAAGGAGAAGGAAGAGGAAGAAGAAGAGGAAGAAGAAGAAGAAGA